UGCUCCGGGAGGGGGCGGUUUCAGAAAGACAAUGCGGGGUGGGAGAGGAGGAGAAGGGGGUGGCGACCAAGUCAGGAAUCCGAGCCGAGGAAGGCGGAAGGAAAGCCCACUUGGGGGGCGGGGAUGGGGAGAGGCCCAUGUAAUAUUUAGAGAGUUUGGGGUUUCAGCAAAACUGUUUUAUAGGCUAAAGUCUCAGAAAGACUACUAAAAAUAAUGAUACCGAGAUUGACAAGGCCAACGAAUUCCCCUGCACUAAAACAAAUGUGUACAUUUAAUCAGACAGGAUUGCAUAGGAUACAAAGCACAGGGCUAAUUAGUCUCAGCAGGUAGGACUAACCUUCAGACUUCAUAAAUAAAUAAGGCAGGUGCAGUGUCUAAGAGGGAGAGUGGAGACAGAAAGGGG
rnacentral:lncRNA from 1 species